AGCGAACGUUUGCGGCGGGCCUAACACAUGCAAGUCGAACGCACUAGCAAUAGUGAGUGGCGCACGGGUGCGUAACACGUGGGUAAUCAACCCUUCAGCUUGGGAUAACGACUUGAAAGGGUCGCUAAUACCGGAUACGGCGCGGGAGGCUUCGGCUUCUCACGAGAAAGCCUCGCAAGGGGCACUGAAGGACGAGCCUGCGGCCCAUCAGCUAGUUGGUGAGGUAAGAGCUCACCAAGGCGAAGACGGGUAGCUGGUCUGAGAGGAUGAUCAGCCACACUGGAACUGAGACACGGUCCAGACUCCUACGGGAGGCAGCAGUGGGGAAUAUUGCGCAAUGGGCGAAAGCCUGACGCAGCCACGCCGCGUGAGCGAUGAAGGCCUUCGGGUCGUAAAGCUCUGUGGGGAGAGACGAAGAAAGACCCGUGAAGAGCGGGCCGUUGACGGGUAUCUCCUUAGCAAGCACCGGCUAACUCCGUGCCAACAGCCGCGGUAAU
rnacentral:rRNA from 1 species